UAUUGGACAAUGGGCGAAAGCCUGAUCCAGCAAUGCCGCGUGAGUGAUGAAGGCCUUAGGGUUGUAAAGCUCUUUUACCCGGGAUGAUAAUGACAGUACCGGGAGAAUAAGCUCCGGCUGACUCCGUGCCAGCAGCCGCGGUAAUACGGAGGGAGCUAGCGUUGUUCGGAAUUACUGGGCGUAAAGCGCACGUAGGCGGCUAUUCAAGUCAGAGGUGAAAGCCCGGGGCUCAACCCCGGAAUUGCCUUUGAAACUAGGUAGCUAGAAUCUUGGAGAGGUCAGUGGAAUUCCGAGUGUAGAGGUGAAAUUCGUAGAUAUUCGGAAGAACACCAGUGGCGAAGGCGACUGACUGGACAAGUAUGACGCUAAGGCGCGAGA
rnacentral:rRNA from 1 species